UGGCAAUUACGUAAUGUCCUAAAUCCU
rnacentral:piRNA from 1 species